CUGUUUCGCUCUACAAGAAGCCGGAGUUGCCCAGUCUUGUUCGUCUCUCGAAGAAGACACAAAUUCACACACCAGACGUGGCACUGAAAACCAUCUCACGGCCUUUGAGUUCUGCAACAGAUUAUCAGAGAGAUGAGACUUCAGAGGGUUGUAGCUGUCUUGAUGCUAAUGAUCGCUGCUUUCCAAACGGUAACGGCUGAAGGAGAUGAUGGCAAUUCCAACGGGCAGGGAAAAUACAAGCUGGUGCACACUGCCAAGGUGGGCGUCGACCUACAAUUCGACGCCGGGGAACCAGCAGACAUUAACACCGAACUCAAGAUGGACAGCUAAAGGUAAUGCUUGGGAAUCAGUUUCCCGGCGAUCAGAAGUAGGGAAGACCACGCCAACAUACAUGAAAGGACAGCAGCCUGAACAGAGACGGAUCCCUAAAGACUUAAACUGUUCAUGAUUAAUUAUCAUUUGUGUUUUCCUUAUAAUUAAGUAUAAUUUGUGUUUUCCUUACAUAAUGGUUUAGAUACAUACAUGCACGCAAGCACGCAAGCACGAAUACAUACAUAAAACCUACGCAUACAUA